rnacentral:lncRNA from 1 species
CCGCCAUUUCCUCAGCUGACUGCUUUCUCGGAUCCUUUCAAAGAGGCGUUUCCUAGGGAUGGUCAGACAGCAGAAACCCGUCACAUCCAUGAGCCUGUGCGAAUUCCCUUUGCCUGUUUUGUGAAGAUCUGGGGAGGGUUGCUAUGGUGAACUUAGUGCUUGGGGAGGGAAAGGAGCCCCUGCCUGAGAACGUUCCUGGUCCCCAGUGUCCCUCCCCCUCAGGAAAGUGACAUCAGAGAGGAGGAGCUGAGCUUUUACCCCCGCAUGUCACCUCAUCUCUCUACACCUCAAUUUCCUCAUUGGAUGGUGGCAUCUGCUUUAUGGGGAGGGGGGUGUUGCAGUGGCAUUGCUGAGGAUGAAGUGACAUAAUGAGUGUCAUGGUACUUCGAGAACCAUGUAUUACGCUGUCACUCACUUCAUCGACAUCGACAGUCCCAGAAGUUGUCAGCUUCUGUUCAGCUGCCUGUGCUGUGAGAGAUGAGUGGUGUCUAAGAAUUCCUUUGGGAAGGGUUUGACCAGCUCUCUGGGGGGCAGACAGUGUGGGCACUUAAUUGAGUCGCCUGGCACACACAUGACUCUCUGAGGCUGGCACAGAGAGGACUCUGGAACACGUCCUGGCAGUCUGGCCCAGUGCUGGAUUAGCGGCCUGUCCUGGGUGUCAUUUCAAGUUCUGCUUCAAGUUCUGUGUUGUCUGCGGAUCCUUGGCAGUGAUACAAGGGCUCUGCUUCUCCAGAUCUCCCAGAUCAAGCCGCCUCACUCGGGAGUGGCAGGUGGAGGGGGAGCGGAAGAUAUUUCCAGAUCCUGAUUUCACAGCACAGUGACUAGACAGAGAGGCAUCCCAUAAAGCCUUCCCGGGCCCGGCACCGCGGCGAGCUGUCAGUAGGGGGAGCUCUGUCACUGUGGUGCGUCCUCUUGCCGCAGCUGGGGUGAGGGUCUGCCUGGGGGUCUGAGGAGGGGCUCGAGGAGGCCAAGGGCGCUGUCUUCGGUAGACAGGUACUGAAAAGCAGCUAGGUCAAGAGUUGUGGGCUGCGAGAGCCCCAGCAGAAAAAGAAGUGGAAAUCCACUGUGCCUGGUGCCCAGGGGUUAGAAGGGUGCUUGGGUUAAGCACACAAAGAAAACGCACAAAUAUCCCAACUUAGGGUGUCUUAACGAAGAAGGGCUGGAGGGUGUGGCUUCACUAAGACCGAAGCUGCUAGAAUUGCCCUCCCUCCCCGUUCCCUCCCACAGGGCCGCCUGUGGGGAACUGGCCACAAGGGGGCCCAACAUGGUUCCGGGAGCUCCCGAGUGUGCCCUCUGUGGGUGCCCGGGUCUCUCUGCUCACUGAGCAGCCCUCAUGAAGCUGGCCUGGCCCUGGCUUAUCAGCUGCACCCAAAGGCAGGAAGGUUCUAAAUGAGGCUCCUAGCCUCAGACUGGGAAGAGGGGAAGAUAAGGUAAGGGUGGCCUCCUUCCUUCCAGGGCCUGGGGUGGCUUUGAGCACUUAAGGGGACAGAUGUGUGCCUAGGACUCUCCAGGUGGUGGGGGUGAGCAGCAGGGACGUCCACCUCCCUCAGAGGGUCUGACGCUCAGAUGGACUGGUCUUGCCCCUCUCGCAGGAGGCUACAGCCAUUUCUCCAUCUCUGUUCUGUGCUGAGACCCUGGGAAGCCCGAGGACGGGACAUUAGGUUUGUCAUCAGCCUUGCACGUGUGUGAGAUGAGACUGUGUGGUGUGCGUCUAGAUGUUUGAGCAGGAGUGGGGCUGGGGACCAUUUCUCAUGGGCAAGUGGGGAGGAAGCCCGGCUUAAGUGGGGCAGUGUGGCCUCAUCCAGAACUGCUCUACCCUUAGUGGUAACUUGUGAGACACGUCUUUGUGACGGCAUUAAGAUCAAGGUUGAGGGGCUCUGAGAGGCUCAGUUAAGCGUCUGACUUCGGCUCAGGUCACGAUCUCACGGUUCAUGAGUGAGCCCCAUGUCAGAGCCUGGAGCCUGCUUCAGAUUCUGUCUCCCUCCCCCCACUCAUUCUCUCUCUCUCUCUCCUUCAAACAUUAAAACUUAAAUUAAUUAAUUAAAAAAAGAUCGAGGUUGAGAUUGGGGUGUCAGGGAGGACAGCUGGCUUAGAGGUAGGGGAGGAUUUGCUGUACUUUUUUUCUGAAGGUCUCUGGUACUGGAAGGAUCUUCUCUGUAUCCCUCCUCCUUGGGGUCAGAGACCAGAUCUGCUGGCUUGGGGCAGUUUAGGGGGAAUCCUACCAGACGGAGGGAUCAGAGAUUCCCUUUGGGUGAAUGGAGAAGGGGCUGUCUUUCUGUUUGUGAUGAAAUUUGCAGUGAACCACCAAGCUUCAGAGAUGGAGAGAGGCUGAUCCCAGCCGCUUCUGUGCCCUGUAGGUCCUGCGCCUUAGCUUUGCAAGCUGAGUGGUCUGGCCCCAUUUGACUCGUGGCCUACAUGGGAGCCCACAGGGACGUCCCGCCCUUCUGCCCACACAGGUGCAGACCUAAACUUGAUCUUUGCAAAUCAGUCGGCUAUCUCUGCUCACUAGAAGCACAGUAACCUCUUGAACUGUCCAGAUUAGAGUUUUCAGAUUAUGAGGGACCCAACACAAUUUCAAGUCAACACAAGGUGAGAGGGGAGGCCUAAGGACUCUUUCCAAUCUCAAGGCCUUUACAUAUAUUGCAGUCCCCCCCCCCCCCCCCCCCCGGCAUAUUCUCCCCUAUCCCUAACCCAUCCUUUUAUCUAGGCAAUUCCCACCCAUCCUUCAGAGCCCAGCCUAGGUGUGGCUUCCGAGGAAGCCUUCCCAGACUGCCCAGAUCAGUCUCAAAGCUCUUGGUCUCAUUUGCUACAAUUAUAAACAUUUCGCAUCGUGUGACUGAUUAUUUUCUUCUCCCUCUUGUAGAAUGUAAGCUUCAUAAGGAGAGCGCUGGGAGUUUCUCUUGUUUACCACCCAUCGAGUCCCUGGCAGAAAGUAGAUACUCAACAAACAAGAGCCGAAUGAGAGAAUAAAUGGGGUCACCAGGUUGCCAGUGGAAUCCCUCCCACCUUCUAGCGGCCAGACUGCUGUCUCAGACUGUAUGGAUACUGUUCUGUGUUCUUAUCGACUGAAGGGGAGAACCACAGCUGGGCUGAAGUUCUCCGCGCAGCUCCUGGGACUUUUGAGUUCUCGUGAGGUGAUCACUGGUCUCACUCCUCUUGUUUGAUCUCCCCCGGACUCUCUGCUAAGUUAAGGUCCAUUCCCUACCACGCCCACUGUCUUCUUUCUCGAGAUGCUUAGCUUCUGGUCUUUGUGUGAAACACGCGGCUCUCUCCAAGUGAAGCCCAGAAAGCUACGUGGUGGAGGGAAGGUUGUGGUUAGCAUGGUCCACCUGCGCUCGAUGCGGUUUCAUGAGGAGAUCAAGGAGCAGGUCAUCUGGACUGGUUGGGAUGGUUUCAGAAGAAGCCUGCAUACUUCCUGAAGCAGUCCACCUCUGCUUUUGCAAGUCCUCCGGAACUUUGUACCUUGAGAGCUGGCUCAGAGGCAGCCGAGGAGCCGGCCUGGAGACUCCCCUUUCUCUAGAGAGCGGGACUACAGCUUGCCGGCUGAGCGCACAGAGCCUCAAGGCCGCUCUACCUGUGUGCCCUGCUCAUGCUCCGCCCCCAGCCACUCCCUCGCCGGGCCUGUGCUGAAUCAGCAGCAUCCCCCUUGCUCUCUUGGCAUGCUGCAGCCCGGCUAAGCCAAGUGUGGUUACAAUGAGUCGGUUCAUCUGGAAGCUCGCAUCCUGUACCCUUUUCCAAUGUGAUGUUCCAGCCAACUGGCACCCAAGAGUAAAGAAAAACCCUGGGAACCGAGGCUGCUGAGGACUUACAGCCUUGCACAAGCCAAGGGCAAGGGCAACAUUGAGGGGAAGGUCGCCCUGCUGCCAGGCCUUUCUCUCUACUCCAU